AUUGAACGCCGGCGGCAGGCUUAACACAUGCAAGUCGAGCGGGGUGAUGGUGCUUGCACUAUCACUUAGCGGCGGACGGGUGAGUAAUGCUUAGGAAUCUGCCUAUUAGUGGGGGACAACAUCUCGAAAGGGAUGCUAAUACCGCAUACGUCCUACGGGAGAAAGCAGGGGAUCACUUGUGACCUUGCGCUAAUAGAUGAGCCUAAGUCGGAUUAGCUAGUUGGUGGGGUAAAGGCCUACCAAGGCGACGAUCUGUAGCGGGUCUGAGAGGAUGAUCCGCCACACUGGGACUGAGACACGGCCCAGACUCCUACGGGAGGCAGCAGUGGGGAAUAUUGGACAAUGGGGGGAACCCUGAUCCAGCCAUGCCGCGUGUGUGAAGAAGGCCUUAUGGUUGUAAAGCACUUUAAGCGAGGAGGAGGCUCUUUUGGUUAAUACCCAAGAUGAGUGGACGUUACUCGCAGAAUAAGCACCGGUUAACUCUGUGCCAGCCGCCGCGGUAA
rnacentral:rRNA from 1 species